GCAUUGAGCACUGAGUGACUCACGUUUUGCUGCGUGGCUGCUCUCAGCUAGAGAUGGGGUCUCGCUACAUUGACCAAGCUGGUCUCAAAAUCCUGGCCUGAAGCAAUCCUCCCGCCUCAGACUCCCAAGGUGCUGUGAUGACACGUGAUCUGGCAGCCUUGGCCCAAGCAAUCCCAGUGGGCGCAUCUUGGGAGCUGACUUUGGGGCCACCUUUCCCCAUGCUGCCUGGGGACCAGAGAACACUGACCGCGGGAAAGACCGAUGCUGCCGAGGCCAGGAGGAGGGGGAGGCCGUCAUCUGUGGGUCCCCAGCAGCGCUUGGGGUCCUGGCCACUCCAGCGGCCCCUUGCACCUGCCUCCAGGGAUCCUUUGUCUUCAAAAUAACCUCCCUCCACCUUCCGGCUCAUAGUGCCUUGGGUGGAUCUGUUCCCAUUUCCCACAAGCCUGCAGGGUGGUGACAGGCCCUCAUUCCCAUGUGCCCCAAGAUUUCGGAUUCCAAAAAUACAUCCCCUGGCUCCCCGGAGAAGUGUGUCACGGUGUCUCCGUUUCACCACUGACAGGGCCAAAGGAUGUGCUCUCCUCUCCCGAGCUGCCAUGGUCAAGGGCUCACCUAGAUAACCCAGGACAGUCCCCUCAUCUCACAAUGACGCCCCCAGUCGGGCUGCCGAGACCGUGCCUGCUGAGCCUAACAUUCCAAGGUUCCAGGAGCUGGGGUGUGGACGGACCUGGGGCCUGCCAUGCCCUCCAAGUGCUGCCCUGCCCCUUGAAGGCCAGGCCAGUCCUGGAAGCUGGGAAGGCCAAGAUCAAGGCGCAGGCAGAUCGGGGGUCUGGUGAGGGGCUUCCUGGUUUCCUGACAGCUGACUUCUCACACGGUGGAAAGAGGGCUACGGAGCUCUCUGGCCUCCUCUUGUAAGGACACUAAUCCCAUUCCCAGGGGCUCCACCCUCAUGACCUGCUCACCUCCCAAGGGCCCCACCUCCUAACGCCAUCACACUGGGAGUAGGGUUUCAACAUGUACAUUUCAGGAGGACACAAACCUUCAGUCCAUCGGGCAUAUGGGGGACGGGUGGGAGCACGUGUUAGCUGGUGCAUGGGUGGGUGGGUGAGUCAAGGGGGGCUCAUAGGCCCCUGUUCACACCACUUGGUCGGAAGGGGGCUUUUACCUGGGUGUGGUCACCCCCAGCACCACUGGGGCCUUAUGACUUUUAUCACCAAAGCUCUACAAGGUGGCAGUCAUGAAUGAGAAACUGAGGCUCCGAGGGGAGGUGCUGGGCUCAGGCUCACCAGCUGCAGGGUGCCACAUCUCAUACCCCAUCCUCCGCUCCCAGCCCUGAGGAGCCCUCAGAGCCCAGCCUGUCCCAGGCUCUCUGCCCAGUGGCAGAGGAGACCCAGGCCUCAUUUGGUGGUUGCCAAAGGCACAAAGGCAGUCCCCGCUCAGUGAUGCUAUGGUCCCCUCCCUGAAUCCACAUGCAGAGAUCAGGGCUGGAGAUGGCCCCAGUGACCUGGGGACUGGCCAGCACCUUGGACACUGUGGCUGAUUAUCUGGGCUAAGCACACAGCUUCAAGAGUCUACCUGGAAGCUAGGCACAGUGAGCCCCGUAGUCCCAGCUACUCAGGAGGCCGAGGCGAGAGGAUCAUGUGAGCACGGGAG
rnacentral:lncRNA from 10 species